AUACGUAGGGUGCAAGCGUUAUCCGGAAUUAUUGGGCGUAAAGGGCUCGUAGGCGGUUCGUCGCGUCCGGUGUGAAAGUCCAUCGCUUAACGGUGGAUCUGCGCCGGGUACGGGCGGGCUGGAGUGCGGUAGGGGAGACUGGAAUUCCCGGUGUAACGGUGGAAUGUGUAGAUAUCGGGAAGAACACCAAUGGCGAAGGCAGGUCUCUGGGCCGUUACUGACGCUGAGGAGCGAAAGCGUGGGGAGC
rnacentral:rRNA from 1 species